AAAGAAGUAAGCUAACUUAAGCUAUUAGGUUCAUACCCUAAUUAUGAAAGUAAAUCUUUCCUUCUUUA
rnacentral:tRNA from 1 species